rnacentral:rRNA from 1 species
AGCGAACGCUGGCGGCAGGCCUAACACAUGCAAGUCGAACGAACCUUUCGGGGUUAGUGGCGGACGGGUGAGUAACCCGUGGGAACGUGCCUUUAGGUUCGGAUUAACUCAGGGAAACUUGUGCUAAUACCGAAUGUGCCCUUCGGGGGAAAGAUUUAUCGCCUUUAGAGCGGCCCGCGUCUGAUUAGCUAGUUGGUUGAGGUAAUGGCUCACCAAGGCGACGAUCAGUAGCUGGUCUGAGAGGAUGAUCAGCCACAUUGGGACUGAGACACGGCCCAAACUCCUACGGGAGGCAGCAGUGGGGAAUCUUGCGCAAUGGGCGAAAGCCUGACGCAGCCAUGCCGCGUGAAUGAUGAAGGUCUUAGGAUUGUAAAAUUCUUUCAACGGGGACGAUAAUGACGGUACCCGGAGAAGAAGCCCCGGCUAACUUCGUG